AGCUCUUCCAUCAGCUCUAGACUGAAGUUACCCAGCAUCAAAUGGAACAAAAUGGCCCAGCCCAGCCCAGACUAGGCUGACACACACACCAAACGAAUGGUUAUCCGGCUACAAGGCAAAGUGGGUGAUGGACCAAAUAGAGGGCUCUUUUGAAGAUUCUGGAUCUGUCUCGCCCCUCCUUCCUUCACCAGAGAAAUCCAAGGUGAUGAUAAGACGAUGUGGUCGACUAUAAAAACUGUACCCCAGCUGUUCAAGGCUGCACUCUGAUCAAGAUCAAGAGUGUCAGUCCUGAUCCCUCGGCCUUGCCUCUCGUUGCAAUAAACUUUGCUGUGACA